AUGUUCAAGCUGGGUUUAGAAAAGGCAGAGGAACCAGAGAUCAAAUCGUCAACAUCUGUUCCAUCAUCAAAAAAAGCAAGAGAGUUCCAGAAAAACAUCUAUUUUUGCUUUAGUGACUGUGCCAAAGCCUUUGACUGUGUGGAUCACAAUAAACUGUGGAAAAUUCUGAAAGUGAUGGGAAUACCAGACCACCUGACCUGCCUCUUGAGAAAACUAUAUUCAGGUCAGGAAGCAACAGUUAGAACUGGAUAUGGAACAACAGACUGGUUCCAAACAGGAAAAGGACUGUGUCAAUGCUGUAUAUUGUCACCCUGCUUAUUUAACUUCUAUGCAGAGUACAUCAUGAGAAACGCUGGACUGGAAGAAACACAAGCUGGAAUCAAGAUUGCCGGGAGAAAUAUCAAUAACCUCAGAUAUGCAGAUGACACCACCCUUAUGGCAGAAAGUGAAGAGGAACGAAAAAGCCUCUUGAUGAAAGUGAAAGAGGAGAGUGAAAAAGUUGGCUUAAAGCUCAACAUUCAGAAAACAAAGAUCAUGGCAUCCGGUCCCAUCACUUCAUGGGAAAUAGAUGGGGAAAGAGUGGAAACAGUGUCAGACUUUCUUUUUCUGGGCUCCAAAAUCACUGCAGAUGGUGAUUGCAGCCAUGAAAUUAAAAGACGAUUACUCCUUGGAAGGAAAGUUAUGACCAACCUAGAUAGCAUAUUAAAAAGCAGAGACAUUACUUUGCUGACUAAGGUCCAUCUAGUCAAGGCUAUGGUUUUUCCAGUAGUCAUGUAUGGAUGUGAGAGUUGGACUGUGAAGAAAGCUGAGCAGCGAAGAAUUGAUGCUGUUGAUCUGUGGUGUUGGAGAAGACUCUUGAGAGUCUCUUGGACUGCAAGGAGAUCCAACCAGUCCAUUCUAAAGGAGAUCAGUCCUGGGUGUUCUUUGGAAGGACUGAUGCUAAAGCUGAAACUCCAGUACUUAGGCUACUCAUGUGAAGAGUUGACUCAUUGGAAAAGACUGUGA
rnacentral:lncRNA from 1 species